CCCUGGGGGAUUCCCAGGUGCAGCCAUUUUGUGUAUGGCCAUUCUGCUUCCUGGUUCAUGACCCAACAGGAAGGACACAGCUGGGAGGGUCUUGAUCAAGGGCAGGACCAGAGAUGAGGCAGAUCUGGGCACUGAUAGAUGACGAUAAUUAAAAAGGACAGCAUUCUUGACAGGCAGAGCCCAGGAUGGGGCAGUCCCGAUGUAAACCCACAGUUUCGAGGAACCAGUUGGCCUUGGACCUCUCUGAAGAGCUCUGGAACCAGAAGGGGCUGGCGGUCCUCUAAGUCACCUUAGCCUACCUGGAGAGACCUCCGAGGCGGGAGAUGCAUAAUCAAAUAUAUAAGUAAAAAUUGACAUUUCCUUUGAGAACUACUUGGACAGUGACCUGAACAUCUCAAGAAAAACCUUGGUGGAAUUGCAUGAACCUGAUUUGGGUCAAAAUUAAGCACCACGCUGAAAAUCAUGCCUUUGUGAAAUGACAAAUUGAAAGUGUUCAGAAAUUGCAUUUGAACUAGUUGAGAUCCUGAUACAGAUUCUCUCCAUUGCUUUCUUGGCUUUAACACUUCAGUGAAGCAAUCUGCCUUGUUGAGAGGCCCACAUGGCAAGGAACUGAGGGCAGCCCCUGACCAACAGCCAGCCAGGAACUGAAGAUGUCAGUCCAACUACCCCUGAUGAACUGAAUCUUGAACCACGUGAGCUUGGAGUGCAUCCUUCCCAGUUGUGCCAUGAGAUGAGAGCACGGCACCAGUCAACAGUGUGACUGUUCUUUGAGAAAGACACCAAAGCAGAGGGGACAGCUAAGCCAUAUCCAGAUUUUUCACCCACAAAACUGAGAUAAUACAUGUGUGCUUUUUAAACUGUUAAAUUUUGGGACAAUUUGUUAUGCCACAAUAUAUAAUUAAUACACAAGGUUUUUGGCAACUGGAAGAAUAAAAAUAGUAUUUAUGAUAUCACAAGAUGAGUGUAGGUAGAGGGUUUCUUUACAGGGAGAUUUCAGGGUUUCUUUUUUUUUUUGGUGAUGGAGUCUCGCCCUGUUGCCCAG
rnacentral:lncRNA from 1 species